UACCGGCACCCCGAGUGGUCGGGACGUUUAUUGGGCCUAAAGCAUCCGUAGCCGGUUCUACAAGUCUUCCGUUAAAUCCACCUGCUCAACAGAUGGGCUGCGGAAGAUACUAUGGAGCUAGGAGGCGGGAGAGGCAAGCGGUACUCGAUGGGUAGGGGUAAAAUCCGUUGAUCCAUUGAAGACCACCAGUGGCGAAGGCGGCUUGCCAGAACGCGCUCGACGGUGAGGGAUGAAAGCUGGGGGAGCAAACCGG
rnacentral:rRNA from 1 species